GCCGGUAUGAUGGAAUUGGUAGUCAUGCUUGACUCAAAAUCAAGUGGGUUAUCCCGUGUCGGUUCGAGUCCGACUACCGGUACCA
rnacentral:tRNA from 1 species